GGAGCUCGGCGCCGUCGAGCCAGACGGCGGCGACGCGGUCGUACUGGUCGCCGGCGCAGGAGGCGGAGAAGGUGAGCACGACGAGGGACCAGGGCGCGGGGCACCCGGCGGGGGGCGCGUACGAGGCCUUGGCCGGCGCGGCGCCGUAGGUGUCGCCGAAGGAGUAGGAGAGGACCGGCACGGUGCAGGACGGCGCCGCCGGCGGGGGCGCGGGGAGCGGGAAGGUCGGGUCGAGGUACUCCUUGGCCGCCGCGCUGGCACCCGGGCCCUGCGGGGCGCGGAGGACGGCGUAGCGGUCAGGGACCUCGUCGGCGCAGGCGAGGAGCGGGAGGAGGAGGAGGAGAUAGAGCGGCGGCGCCAUCCUCUGCGGCCGCCGCGACGCGAGGUAGUUGGUGUUGGUCGCUGCUCCGGAGUAGUAGCGUGGGUUGCUACGAUGGCGUUGGAUUUGGGGAUUUUGGAGCUUUUUUUUACUCUGCUCGAACUAUUGUGUUCAGACCUCAGAACUUCAGGUUGCCGGCUGUUGAUCGUGUCGUGUCACCUCUACCAUACGUUCAGGCUUGUCUUCUUCUUACCUGACGCUCAGGACCUUUUGAAUC
rnacentral:sRNA from 1 species